CCCUGAAGUGGGGGAUAACGUAGCGAAAGUUACGCUAAUACCCGCAUAUUCUGUGAGCNGGAAAGCAGGGGAUCUUCGGACCUUGCGCUAAUAGAUGAGCCUAAGUCAGAUUAGCUAGUUGGUGGGGUAAAGGCCCUACCAAGGCGACGAUCUGUAGCGGGUCUGAGAGGAUGAUCCGCCACACUGGGACUGAGACACGGCCCAGACUCCUACGGGAGGCAGCAGUGGGGAAUAUUGGACAAUGGGCGCAAGCCUGAUCCAGCCAUGCCGCGUGUGUGAAGAAGGCCUUUUGGUUGUAAAGCACUUUAAGCGAGGAGGAGGCUACUUGGAUUAAUACUCUAGGAUAGUGGACGUUACUCGCAGAAUAAGCACCGGCUAACUCUGUG
rnacentral:rRNA from 1 species